GUCGGGGAAGGAAAGACAUAGAAUUUGGAUUUUUCUUCUUCGUAGAGUUUUGGGGAAGACUGAGGCAAUCGCUGCUGAAGUCAGUGUUGUAAUGGUAAAUCGGGAUUUUUAAAUGAAGUGGAUUUGAAUACUCUUGACUGUUUUGUGAAAUCGAGUUACGUCUGUGAUUGAAGGAUUAAAAGGGUGUCUAUAGGAUUGAGUAUGCGGAGUGAAUGAAAUUUAUUGGGUUAAUCUAACAAGACAGUCAGUGGAUACAAGAUCGUAAGUACAAAGCAGUAUUGAAGGUUAACAGUUUGGGUUGUUCGGGGUUCUCUGUAACGUCUAGAGACCUACCGGCUGGGGCAAAAAGGACUUCGACAAGCAGUCGAAGAGCACCCGUAUAGAUUUACGGUACAUUGUUGCAGUCGUUUAUAUUCCAGCAGUCAAAAACUGAUAGACUGCUUGACUAUCGACGAAUCUCCAUACUACCUUCUACAGCCAGACGCCCGGCGCGUUCUCGAGCACGAAAGCACGUAAUACGACAUAAGUGGUGAACCCGACGUGAAAGCUUGAGGUAGAAGGUAUUGGAUUUUGGUUGAUUUAUCUUUAUUUUUAUGGAAAACGAAAAUAAAAAUUUUGAAGGAUUUUUGGGAGAAGUUUCUGGUGGGGAGUCUUCUAAAGGACAAGGUAUGCACAUGGAUCCGUCUAUUGCUAGUUUGUUUCAAGCCUUCUCAUUGUCAAUGCAGCAACAGCAAAGCAAUGAUCGAAAGGAAGCUUUGGCAACCAAAGCAUUGCAAGCAGUGGUCAAUAAAAUUGAUCAAUUUGAUGGGAGGAAUAUUUCAAGGUAUUUAAGAUGUUAUGUUCGUGAAAUGGAAUUAAAUCGGGUUUCUGAGAAGAAAAUGGUUGCACUAUUUGGACUUGCCACGAUACCGGAGAUAAGGGACCACAUUACAUCGAUUACGGAUCGUUGUGGGAAUUCAUGGGAAGAUUUUUCACAUGCAUUGAAAGACGAAUAUUUCUUGGAAGAUGCUAAUCGCGUUACUAAGAAGCUGUUUCUGGGAUGGAUUGAAUGGCCCAAUAAGAAUUUCCAAGCAACAGAGCUACUAAGGGAAUUUGAGAGGCAGUACUCUCAAUUAUUGAAGGUAGAAAAAUUGACAUUGGAGCCGAACAAAGUUGAUCUAUUUCUUCAAGCUGCUGAUGGAGAAUUGCAAGAGAAAUUAGAACCCCUUCUUGAAGACAAAGAAGAAGAUGAAGGAUUGACAACGAAGAGGAAGAACGUUGAAGAUGCGGUAGGGUUGCUUACAAAAAAAGAAAGGAGAAAGGAUAGGAGUAAUAUUCCGAAACAAGUACAAGCACCCAAAGCUCCAGUACGUACUACACCACCGACAAUGCCUACAGUUCAACCUUCGACAUCCUUGUCAAAGAAAGCAGAUAUGGGUAUGGAAGAAAUUAUACGAGGAAUGCGAGAUCUUCAAAUCAAAUUGGCAAGACUUGAAGAGAAUACUUCUAUAAACAAUUCGAAGAAUGUUUCAAAACAAGGAUAUGUACAAAGAUGCAUUUGGUGUGAUGAUGCUUCAUACACUAGAAAAGAUUGCAAUGAAUUUAAUAAUGUGAUACGGCAGGGAAUUAUUUGCUGGAAAGAUGGGAAGAUAGCAUUGAAAGAUAGGGAGGAUCUUCUUCAAACCAAUUUUGGCAAGGGAGGAAUGAGAGCAUUGGUUCAAGAUUACUUAAAAGGGCAUGAAACAGUAGCACGAGAAAGUGCAAGUUAUGGUGCUAGAGUAGAUGAUGAAAUUGGUGGAAGUACGGAAACUAGUGAGUUUUGGGCUUCUGCCGUUUCUACAAUGCAAGAAGGGAAAUUACCUCGAGAAGCGUUAUUGAGAACUGCAGCUACAAUACGAGGAAGAACAGGUUGGGAAGAUCCCGUUGAGUCUCUUUCAGUUCAUGCAUAUAUUGCUAAGAGCCAACAUGAAGCUUUGAUGGAAGAAAAAAGACGAGGAAAUUUUGAUGAUACUAGAGAAGGAAAUUCUUUUAAGAGGCAAACUUGAGGAGACAAGGCUCGGGAGGCAGCUUCACAAGAAUUGCCUGUAAAGGAUACCUCAAUAUCAUUGGAAGAGAAAACAACGGAGACAAAAGAUAAGGGCAAAUCAAUUGCUUAUAAGCUACUUUCUGACAUUGAAGCGGCAACAAAUUUGAAAGGGGUGUUGGAAGAACGUAUAUUAAACGCUAAGGUGGAAUUCACAUUGAAAGAAUUCUUGGGAAUUGCAAAGAAGGAGUUUCAUGAUGUUAUCAUUGACAGCAUUAAGCGAAAGAAGCAAUUAAUGAGCGAAACUGGAAUGAGUCAUGCUAUUGAUGCAAGAAUAUGUAGAGAUGAAGAAGAGGAUGAUAUUGGUUACAAGCAACCAACAAAUGAAAAGAAUGGGUGUAAUCAGCGAGUACGUUUCGAAGAUUCUAGUGAUAAGGAAAUAGAAACUUUGAGCCAUUAUACUCGAAAGCAUUGGACAAGGGCAACUACUGAGGUAUUGGUGAAGGUAGGAGAUAUAGAGGAACCAAUAGUUGCUUUGGUGGACCAUGGUUCUGAAAUAAAUCUCAUGCAUAAAGAUCUUUAUAAGAAGCAAAAAUGGCCAAUUGAUAUGGAACAUGGAUGGGCAAUACGAGCAGCUAAUAACACACGAGGCGAAUUAUAUGGAGCUUGUCUAGAUGUCAAAAUUCGAAUUGGGGAUGUUGCGACGGAGCAACAUUUCUUCGUUCAAGAUACAACGUCUUAUCCGUUGAUUUUAGGACAACCUUAUAUCAUGGCAACACGGAUGGAAACAAAGGUAGUUGACGAUGGUUCUGCUUAUGCAAGGGUACGGAGCGAAGAUGGGAGGAAAGCUGUACAAUUUCUAACAGUACCUCCUAACCAUGAACGGAAUCGAGAUAGGUUGAGGGAGAUACCAUUACCAAAGAUUGUUGAAGGAUUUAAGGAUUUUGGGGAGGUACCACUGUAAAGCGAGAUUAUGGAGGUACAAAAGAAGAGGUACUCUCGCGAGAUGAAGGUGCCUUUGAUGCGAGUUUUAUUGGUAUAUUGGAGAAUGGAAAUAUUAUGUAUAAGAAAGUUGAUGAUUUUAAAAGAAAAGAAAGAAAAAGAUUAUAUGAUAUUGAAGGACAGUUAUGCAAGAUAGGUACAUUGCAAGAUGAUGAGAGGAUUUUGGGUGUUUAUGAAGAAAAUGGGCUGGAAGAUUCAUUGGAAUUGAUUACAUCUAUUGGGUUAGGGGAUAAUGAUAAGAUUGUUGAGAUUCAUUCGAGAGAGAUUUAUACCAUGCUUGAAUCUUUUCAAGCACCAGAAGUCACAGUAGAGACGAGAUAUAAAACGGCAGAUAAGAAGGUAAAGCCUGUUGCCGGACCAUUACCAGAGGAUUCUAAAGAACAAAUGGGAGAAGCAUCAAAAGAAGCAAGUUUAAGAGAUCCAAUGAGUAUUGGACAUCAGUUUACUGAAGAGACUUUUGAAGAAUUGAAGAUUGGUUCUGAUGGUUCUUUAUUGCCUGAGGAAAUUACUUGCUUCAAAAAAGUGUUGGCUAAACAAGGUAGAUCGUUUGCCUUCGAAUCUCAUGAAAUUAGGUGUGUGGAUCCAAAUAUUAUAACACCUAUGGUUAUCUUCACUGUACCGCAUGUACCUUGGAAUCUAAGACCGAUUCCAGUACCGAGGGCACAUUUACCUAAAUGGGUGGAACUAUUGAAAGAAAAGAUAAAGAUGAAAAUAUUAGAACCUUCAUUUGCGCCGUAUUCUAGUCGAUGGUUUACGGUACCUAAGAAGAAUGGGUCACUGCGGUUUAUUCAAGAUAUGCAGCAGGUGAAUGCUGUAACUGUCAAGAAUGCAGGAAUUGGACCUAUUGUGGAUGAAUUUGCUGAGGCGUUUGCUGGAAGGGCGAUCUAUUCAAUGGGUGAUUUGUAUUCAGGUUAUGAUCAAUUUCAACUUGUCGAAAGAAGUAGAGAUAUGACAACGAUGAGGACACCGCUUGGAUUGGUUAGAAUGUGCACUCUUCCUCAAGGCGCGACCAACUCAGUUGCGCAUAUGAUGAAUGGGAUGAAUAAGGUAUUGAGAGAUUUUAUCCCGAAAAAGACUAUGCCUUUUCUGGAUGAUGUUCCUAUAAAGGGGUGCAGAGAAGGAGACAAGGAUGAAACUUUAGAUACGAGGGGGUGUCGCAGAUAUGUUGUUGAUCAUAUACAAGAUUGUGAAAAGAUUUUAACUCGGCUAGGAGAAGUUCAUCUUACAUUAUCGGGUAUGAAGUCCGUAUUUGGAGUGCGAGAGGUUGUAAUUGUUGGACAUUUAUGCAGAUCUUACAGAAGAAAACCAGAUCCGACUAAAGUUGAUGCAAUUGGAAGGAUGAAAGAGGAUUGUGGUUCUUUAACAGAGGUUCGCAGGUUUUUGGGUGCAUGUGUAUUUUAUCGAAUCUGGAUCCCUCAUUUUGCUCACAUAACGGAUCCAUUAUAUGAACUGUUACGCAAGGGUUACCGAUUUGAAUGGAAAGAAAGGCAUAUUCAGGCAAUGCAAAGAUUGAAGAAAUUAUUGAUGUCACCUCCAAUAUUGAGGAAGGUUGAUUAUAAGUGCAAUAGACCAGUGAUUCUUACUGUAGACGCUAGUCCAAUUGCCGUUGGAUGGGCGGUGGGUCAAGAUGAUACGAAUGAGAGUAGAUUUGCAGUUCGAUUUGGGGCUAAAGUUUUAAGUAUUCGUCAGCGUGCAUAUUCGCAAGUCAAAAGAGAACUUUGGAGAGUCGUUUCGGCUAUGAAAGCUGAAAAGGACUAUUUGAUUGGGGCAGUAGUAGUAAUUGAAACAGAUUGCUUGCCAUUGCUUGGAAUGAUUAUUAACUGUUCAACGCCAGAUAUUGCAAUGUUGAGAUGGAUUGCUUAUAUUGUCACUAAAUCCAGAAUUUAAGCAUAUCACUGGAAAGGACAAUUUAGUAGCAGACAUGCUAUCUCGAGUAAGAUACGAGAGGGAGGACGAAAUGGUUGAAGACAUUGAUGAUGUCGGAUUGAAAUUCUAUUCAAUAUCAAAUCUCAACAGAGAAGACAAGCUAUUUCUUGAAGAAUCUUUUGAAGGAGAAUUAUUGGAUAUUGGUCAUUAUUUGAAUACCUUGUCUAAGCAGGGGAAUUGGUGUACAGAAAAAUUCAAACAAAUAAGAAAAAAAGCAUAUGGAUUUUUACUUCGAGAUGGAUUCUUAUGGAAGAGACCGAAGAAAGGAAUUGGGAUGCCACAAUGAGUGAUAGGCAAAAGGGAAGAAAAACUAAAAUUAUUAAAGGAGUUUCAUGAUAGUUUAUGGGCAGGGCAUAGAGGAAUCUGGGCUACUUUUGCUAAACUCAAGGAACGAUAUUGGUGGAAAAAUAUGUAUCGAGAUGUGCUCUCAUUUGUAGAGUCAUGUGAAAUCUGUCAAUCGUAUUCUAAUAUCCGACAUCGAGAUGGUCUUCAUCCUACGUAUCCUCUCGCUAUUCAUUUUAAAUGGGUUGUUGAUUUGGUUAUUAUGCUGGUUGGGUUAUGGCAGAUGAGAUAUUUGAUUUUAGCUCGUGAUGAUUUAUCAAAUCAAGUAGAAGGAAGAGCAUUGAGGACAAAAUCUACAGAGGGGAUUUGUAGGUUUUUGCUUGAAGAUGUCAUUUGCCGUUACGGGUGCGUAGGAAAAAUCACUGCAGAUCGUGGAGAAUUAAAUGCACAAGAAGCUCGUAAGUUCUUUGAAAGAUGUGGAGUGAGACUAUCACUGACUACUGCUUAUAAUCCGGAAGGGAAUGCAAAAAGUGAAUGUGGUCACCUGCCGAUUGUGAAAGCAUUGGUUAAAGCUUGUAAUGGGAAGGUUAAAGAGUGGCCACAGCUUUUGUCAUUUGCAUUAUGGGCUGAUCGAACAACACAUAGUUCGGUGACAGGAUAUAUGCCAGUAGAACUUAUGACAGGUCAAAAACCAAUUAUGCCGAUUGAAGAAAAGGUACUUACUUGGAGUAUGCUACCAUGGGAAGAUGGAUUGAGAAGAGAAGAACUUCUAGCUAUUAGGAUUCGACAAUUGGAGCAAAGAACGGAAGAUGUCCAGAUAGCAUUGGAAAGGUUAAAAAGAGCAAGGUUACAAAACAAGGCGCGAUUCGAUAAGCAACAUCGAUUGAGACCAAAAGCAAUCGAGGAAGGUGACUGGGUACUUGUUUAUGACAAUAGUCUGGAUAAUCAACAUAGUACUUUGCGAAAAUUUUCAAAACGUUGGUUUGGACCAUAUGUUGUAACAACUGUUCAUGAUAAUGCGACUUACUCAUUACGGGAGUUAGAUGGUACAAAAUUAAAAAUACCAAUUGCAGGGAAGAGAGUAAAAAUAUUUAAACGAAGACACGCACAGAUGAAUAUGGAAGACCUUAAUGAAGGUACAGAGAUUCCGCAGCAAGAAGAUGAAAGUGAUAUGGAUAAUGAAGGUGAUGAAGACAAACUGGACAAAGACGUAGGGGAUAUAUUCUGAAUCAAACAGCAAUUGGGUAAAUUGGUGCAUACCGGAGGAUGCACAGGUUCAGAGGGGGUGGAUGUCCUAUUGUAACACGAGUAUACAAUGAAAAUAAAAAGAAAGGGGAAUUUUAUUAAUAUUCAGUUACCUCAAAUAUUGGGAGCAUCGACCAACUCCAGUACAAAUACUGAGUGGUCAGAUUCAGUGACUCCGUUACAGUCAGCCGGGGCAUACUGAAAUGCCCCAUUCGAUUCCAAUAACGGGAGUCAGCAGGAAGAGAAGGACCAAUUCACACGACGGGUUCAAGGAGCCAAUUGGAUCCAAUUUCGAUAAUCCAAUCCGGGUCCUCUUACCCAAUAUGAGACCUGUAUUGGUGGGGCAACCCAAUGCAGUCUAGUUACGGAAAAUCCAGGUCUUACUACGGGUCUUAGCCAAUCUGACGCGAGGACCAAUUUGACCCAAUUACGGAAACAUCCAAGUUACUACGGGCAUCUUUACUAAUAUAGGACCUGAAUUGGUCGGGCGACUCAAUGUGGUCUCGAUUACAGGGUUCGAUUCUGUUUCAGGCUGUCCUGUUCUCUGUGCCGUUUCAGGGAACGUUGUUUUCGGUAAAUGGAUUUCGUAAAGGUUAAAACGGAGGAGAAAGCUUGAUGGCGAGAGCCAAUUUCGGAUCCAAGCUUGAGGUGGGAGCCAAUUCCGGAUCUAAGACAGAAGAUUGAAGAAAUUCAAAGGAUAAGGUUAGGUGGGGAUAUAGUUUUGAGGGGGGAGGGUUUUUUUUUGAGGGGAAAUCACGGGGGAAAGAUUUUUCAAGCUUCUGCAAGGUUAUCAGUUGGGUUUUUUUUUGGAUGUUUUUGAAGAUCAAGGGAAUUAGAGAGAGGAGCUUCAUGCUUCGGGUUGGGGAAGGAAAGACAUAGAAUUUGGAUUUUUCUUCUUCGUAGAGUUUUGGGGAAGACUGAGGCAAUCGCUGCUGAAGUCAGUGUUAUAAUGGUGAAUCGGGAUUUUUAAAUGAAGUGGGUUUGAAUACUCUUGACUGUUUUGUGAAAUCGAGUUACGUCUGUGAUUGAAGGAUUAAAAGGGUGUCUAUAGGAUUGAGUAUGCGGAGUGAAUGAAAUUUAUUGGGUUAAUCUAACAAGACAGUCAGUGGAUACAAGAUCGUAAGUACAAAGCAGUAUUGAAGGUUAACAGUUUGGGUUGUUCGGGGUUCUCUGUAACGUCUAGAGACCUACCGGCUGGGGCAAAAAGGACUUCGACAAGCAGUCGAAGAGCACCCGUAUAGAUUUACGGUACAUUGUUGCAGUCGUUUAUAUUCCAG
rnacentral:lncRNA from 1 species